GUUAGCUGUAGUGUAAAAUAUUAGCAAGAGCGUGGUAGUGAGUGUUGUUUUGGUAAACCAUGUUUUUGAUGCAAGAUCCUUCCCAGGACACCAGCAUCGCCAUGCAUUGGCCAGACUGGGAGAACCCAAGGUCGGUGUAUUUGCAAGUCCUAGUACAGCCAGAGGACAAACCCAAAAUUUGUUCACUAAACCAAAUGGUAGGCGAUUACAUUUCAGGGACAUAUCAUUUAGGCUAAAGGAUACCUUCAAAAAUGUGUGGCAGCAUUCAUGUAUAAUGUAAUCGCCUACUCUUUGUCAUGUUCAACAGUUUGACCUCGGCCGAUAUGACAUUACUAGCAUCGAAUGCGCCACACAUACCUUCCUUAUCUAUGGGAGACGUAUUGUCAUCACCCACCCACAGAUGACCGAUGGAUAGAUUCCUAAACAAUAUAUAUUAAGCGGACUUAUAACAUUUUCGGUGGACAUCUAGAGUAAAUUUCAUAAGUAUAAUUAUGUAUGAUGUAUUGUAGAAUCGCACAAGACCCAAAACCCAUUAUAUUAUCAUGCCAUGUAAAUAAUAUAUGUAUGCAUAUCUAUGAUGUAUGGUGUACCUGUUGAAAUAUAUAUUCGGGGUCAACUAGGCUUGUUAAGGAUCCCUCCCCUGGUAAUUCUGGGGGAGCAAAAGCUUUAAUCUCAUUUCUAACCAGGAGCAACCCUUUGAAGGCCCCUCCAACAUUCCUCUCUGGAGAAACUCCUUGGUAAUCGCUCUGAGGACUAUUGUAACCCUCUCCUUAACUUGACAACACUGGGAACCAUCACCUAUACUCUGCCGGUCCCUCCCUUCCCCCCUUCCCAGUUGAGCAAGAGAGCAGAUUAGAAAUGGACCAGGCAACAUGACUGAUGAUGGCAAAAAGGAGAAAGGUCUAUCGUUUUUUAGUCUAAUUUUCCCCAUGCUGUUGCGUAUAUUUUAUUGUGUAUUGUAAUCCUGUGUGCUAUGGUAUUCCUUGUAUUUUUACUCGUAUUAUGUACUGCAAGACAAGACAAUGGAAACAUCUGGCAUUGCAACUGUGUGUUUGAUUAGUGUUUAUUUAUUUACUACUACUGUUAUUGUAUUUCUUGGCUUAUGCCAUGUGUAAUCUACUUCCGACAAAUAAAAGAAAUUAUAAAACUAAA